CCGCCCCGCCGCGCUGGCGCCGCCCGCCUCCGGAGCCCAGGCCUGGGGCUGGCCGCGCCGUCCGGGAGCCCCGCACCCCACGCCCGGCCGGUGGGGCUGCCCAGGCCGGGCCGAGGGACACGCCCCCUCCCCCGCCAGCCCCGAGGGACGAGUUCCCGCCACGGGGUCUACCGGAGCAGAGCCAGCCGCGCCGCGCCGGGCGCGUCCAGGCCACCAAAUGUUCGCCAUCCAGCCAGGGGUGGCUGAGGGCGGCCAGUUCCUGGGGGACCCGCCGGGAGUAUGUCAGCCGGAGCUCCAACCAGACAGCAACUCUAACUUCAUGGCGAGUGCCAAAGAUGCCAAUGAGAACUGGCAUGGGAUGCCAGGCCACGUGGAGCCCAUCCUGAUGCAGAGCUCCUCUGAGUUGCCCUCUGACAACCAGGUCUUCCAGGCCCCUGGGCUCCCCGAGGGGGAGGUGCGCAGCCCACCAGAGGGGGCAGAAAUCCCCGGAGCUGAGCUUGAGAAAUUGAGUGGUGCCAGCCCAGUGUGCUCCCCGCUGGAGGACAACGGCUACGCCAGCAGCUCCCUGAGCACUGACAGCCCCAGCAGCAGUCCUGAGCCUGCCUGUGGGACCCCUCGAGGCCCGGGCCCUCCAGAUGCCCUUCUGCCCUCGGUGGCCCAGGCUGUGCAGCAGCUGCAGGCUCAGGAGCGCUACAAAGAGCAGGAAAAGGAGAAGCACCACGUGCACUUGGUGAUGUACCGCCGCCUGGCCCUGCUGCAGUGGAUCCGGGGCCUGCAGCAGCAGCUGGUAGACCAGCAGACCCGUCUGCAGGAGAGCUUCGACACCAUCCUGGAUAACCGAAAGGAGCUUAUCCGCUGUCUCCAACAGAGGGCAGCCCCAUCCGGGCCCCAGGAGCAGGGCUAAGGGUGUGCCUCCACAGGGGUGCAGGGGUGUAUGUCCAUAUUUGCAGGCAUGUGUGUGGUUGUGCACAAGGUCCCAUUGCUCCGGAGAGAGGGCUGGCUGCAGUAUUUAUCUGAGGGUUGUGGCUGAUCCAUUCCCCUGAGACUUCCCAGCUACCUCUCCACCCUCUCCCCAUCACCCCUCUCAGACUUCGCUCUGCUAAGGCUGUUGUCCUUGAUGGUGGAUUUGCUGUGGACGAAGUGUGGUGGCUGCUCUGGCCUGCCAUGGCUUUUUGGCUACAGUUUUGCCAGGGCGACUGGUAGAGAAUGAGUCUGAGGGAGGGGAGCUGGGGUUGGUGAUCGACACUGCGGCAGGGAUGGUGGGGGUGGGAUCAGAGAAGAAGAUAAAGUCCCACUUGAACUCUGCCUUGGGGCACAUGGGAGAUGGGGAUGGGGAAGAUGACAGUGGCAGAACCUUGUGAAGAAUAGGAGAAAGGGAAUUCUAAAACAUCACUUGGAAACAAACCAUGCUUCUCCACGGCAAAGGAGCGGUUGCAGACCAUAUUGAUUUAAGCUUCUGAUGAAAGCAGAUGUGCACUUAUACGCUUGCAAGGAAUGGAUGAGGUACUCCAAGACUGCUGGGGAAAAAAAAAAUCUCAGUUUCUUCUCUGUGCCUCUACUUGCUGUCCCUUUCUGGCUUUAGCAACACUGGAUGUUCAAGUAGGUUGGUCUGUUUUCCUGAAAUCAGGCUGUCUAGGCCCAGAGGAGCCAUAGUCGGCUUUCCAGGGUGGGCAGGGGGCAGUGUCAGCCCAGCCUCUGGAAGCUCUCAGGAUGCUGGGUCAUAACCCCUUCCGUCACUGCAUGGUCUUUUCAGUGGGGGUUGACUGGCUCCAGCAGAGGCUCUGUGAAAUGGAGAGUGGGUGAAUUCUGGGGAGAAAUAAGGACUAAGGUAGCCAAGCUCUGUGCUUUGCUUUUGGGAGCCAUGAGGAUGCAAGAUCCUGAUGGGUGAGCAGUGGCAUGACGCUGAGUUUCCCUAUUUGCGAAAUGGGGGUGCUCUUCCUCUCUCUAAAGAGUUCUAUCCCUGACGGUGGGUGAAGGGCAUAUUAGUGAGGUUGAAGCAAUGGUCCUGGGGACUUUUGUGUCUAGCCCUUGCAUGUUGAGUAUGAACCUGGCCUCUGGGCCAAGCCAGGGUGAAUAAACUGGGGCAGAGAAAUACA